rnacentral:rRNA from 1 species
UAGGGAAUCUUCCACAAUGGACGAAAGUCUGAUGGAGCAACGCCGCGUGAGUGAUGAAGGGUUUCGGCUCGUAAAACUCUGUUGUUGGAGAAGAACAGGUGAUAGAGUAACUGUUAUCAUCUUGACGGUAUCCAACCAGAAAGCCACGGCUAACUACGUGCCAGCAGCCGCGGUAAUACGUAGGUGGCAAGCGUUGUCCGGAUUUAUUGGGCGUAAAGCGAGCGCAGACGGUUUUUUAGGCCUGAUGUGAAAGCCUUCGGCUUAACCGGAGAAGGGCAUCGGAAACCGGGAGACUUGAGUGCAGAAGAGGACAGUGGAACUCCAUGUGUAGCGGUGAAAUGCGUAGAUAUAUGGAAGAACACCAGUGGCGAAGGCGGCUGUCUGGUCUGUAACUGACGCUGAGGCUCGAAAGCAUGGGUAGCGAACAGGAUUAGAUACCCUGGUAGUCCAUGCCGUAAACGAUGAGUGCUAAGU